rnacentral:lncRNA from 1 species
CUCUCACACCAUGGAGGGAGAGAAGCCACAUGCAUCUUCAGCUUGGAAAAAAACCACAGGAUGAAGAGCAUACAAUUGAAGUAGAAAGACCACAGCUAUACAGAGGCUCAUGAAGGGUAAAGAGGAGAUUUUUGAAUGCUUCCACUUAUUGCUUCCAAUAAAUGAGAAUUCAACUUCUUAUAAGAGAUACCGUAUGCUUGAAAACUGAGAUCUGAGAAAAAUAUGACUACAACCUAUAAGUAAACGCCCAGCCAAACUCUAAAGCAAGAGUUCAGGUAAAAUAAGGACAUUUUUGGGUAUGUAAGCUAUAGAAAAUGUUACUACUCAUUGAUCAUCCUCUGAAAGACUUGCUUAUGUAAUUUAUCCAACAAAAAGAACAAAGGAACUCAAGAAAGAGGUAAAAAAUGAGAUCAAUGAAACAGAGUACUUAAUAUAUUGUGUAUUGUGAUUAUGUAGCAGAGUAUCUCUGUUUUAUAGGAAAUAUAAACUAAAGUAUUCAGAAAUGAUGGAACAAGAAGUCAGCAACUUUCUCUCAAAUUGUUCAGGAAAAGAUGCUUUGUAUUGUAUCUUCACCUUUUCUGUAACUGCAUGAUUAUUUUGAAAUAAAGAUAAUUUAAAAAAUAAAAUGGAGGGAA